GCUGCUGCCCGCCGGGAGUGAGGGAGACGCACAGUGGAGCAGCGCCGCGCUAGACAGGGACGCACGGCGCUGCCGCUGCGCGCCCUACGCCAGCCCGAGCGCGUUCAGGAGCUACUACAAAAGGAUAGCGGAGGUCGCGGCCGGGUCGCCGGCGCGGCGCUGACGCGGCUCCCGCGCCAGAGCCACAAGCUUACCGUUACAUUAUUAUUUAUAUUUUACAACCCGCAAUUUUUUUGAAUAUUAUUUUGAAAUGAAAAUUAUUUUUAUUUUACACGUAUUAGGCAAGUAUUCCUCUUUAGUUUCUUUCAUUUCUUCUCUAGAAGUUGACAACUUACACAUACCUAAUAUUAAAUUAGAUUAAAGAAGUUAAAUAACCAAUUUCGGACAGCGAUAUAUCAGAAAGAAACAGUGUUCAAUUCUAAAAUCAUCAUCAUCAUUAUCAAUCGAUAGACGGCCACAGUUGGACAUAGGGACCUCCACACGCCACUGCCGCCCGCGCCAUACAGAGCGGCUCCCGUACACUCGUGGGGGGGUCUUACAAUGCUGUGCUUCCCGGUGCGAGGUCGCCAUUCCAGCAGCUUGGGGUCCAAGUCUAACAGUUUUUCCAACUAAUCUAAUUUGUGCCUGUCCAUUGCCACUUUAGCUUCGCAACCCGCUGAGUUAUGUCGGUUACUUUGGUUUUCCACUCACCUUCGAUUUGUCGUUGACGGAGACUCUGGAAGACUUCAAUUCAAUGCUCAAUGACUUUAACAGAGUUUCUCAAAAAAUGAAUAAGUAUAAAACGAGAAAUUAAAAUAAUAAAAGUCAUAGAUAUCACAUUAAAAAGAAAAUUGCUUUAUUAGUCUAAAAAUGGUUAUUUUCCGCUGGUUCCAAAUUCUAAGGCUGGGGAUUCGGAACUAGUUUGACAGAUUUGGCUCUUACUUACGACGUUAUUAUUGUUUAUUUAUUUAUUUAUGUAUCUGCUGUCGUAGUGAGCUGCCAAGUUUGUCGAUAUAGUAAUUAAUACGUAUUAGCUAGAUAUUUAAUAAAAUGUUGAUUAUAAAAUGUUAGGAAUCUUGUAUACGAUGUACCUAUCUAAUAAAAUUGAUACGACUA